UACAGAGGGUGCAAGCGUUGUUCGGAAUUAUUGGGCGUAAAGAGCGUGUAGGCGGCUUGGUAAGUCCGCUGUGAAAGUCCAGGGCUCAACCCUGGAAAGCCGGUGGAAACUGUCAAGCUUGAGUCCGGAAGAGGCGAGUGGAAUUCCUGGUGUAGCGGUGAAAUGCGCAGAUAUCAGGAGGAACACCAAUGGCGAAGGCAGCUCGCUGGGACGGUACUGACGCUGAGACGCGAAAGCGUGGGGAGCAAACAGG
rnacentral:rRNA from 1 species